rnacentral:misc_RNA from 1 species
AGUGCAUAUGCAUGGAAGGGAAGGGGGAGGCUACACGCACGCAGUAACACACCCUGCUGGGGAACCUUCCACCCACACAUACGAGCACGCAGACGCUUGUCCUUGACGAGAGGGGAACGGAGCUCAUGCUGCGCCGCACCGCAAGAAGCGCCAUGGGCAACAGCCGCUUCAGCGGCAGCAAGGAGCGGGACCGCAUUGAGCAGGAGCGUCGCCGCCGUCUUGUGUACGACGCCGCAGGCAAUCUUCAGCUCGGCGGCCUCCUGCUCAUGAUGUACGACGACUUCAAGAAGCCCGCCGCCAUCGGCCUUGGCAUGGUUGCCUUCUUAUACGGUUAUAGCCGACUGGUUGUGCACCUGUCUCGAGAGGAAGAGGCAGAGGGCUUGUGGCUGGACGCGCAGAGCGAGGCAGUGGCCCGGCAGACGGGCAAGCUGAAGGCAGAUCGGUAUCUUGUCAAGCCGAAUAGGCAGAUCGACGACCCCGACUUUCUCAACAUCCCCGCCUUUGGCGGCAGAGGCGUCAGCUCUAGUAAGCUCUUGAGUGAUGAUAGCGUGAGCGGCGGGGCUCUGCAUAGCGAGCGCAAGCGCAGCUGACCGGCAGUCUCACACACGGAACACGGAAGGAGGCGGCAACAGUUGUAGCCCGUAUACGUGUAAAGGACUACCAGUCGCGCAACCGUCUUUCCUUUACGCGCGCAUCCAUCACCUUCACGAUGGCCACGACCAUCACCCACUGCACCGGGCUCUUUCUCGUUCUCUCGCUGUGCGUGUGCAUACAUGUGCUCUGGAGUGCACGGCACCGGAGAGGGAGGCAGGCAAAUCACCACCACAAAACAACGUGCGAGAUGGUGGAGGCCUGUGUCCUUGCCUCCGCCACCCCCUUCCCCUGCCCUUAAAGAGGAGGUGAGGGUCGAUGAGGCUGUGCAGCACCCGCCCUCAUACUCUUUUCGUGCACCCUGCGUCCUUAGCGGCGCAUGCGUUCGGUGACGCAUCAACUCGCUCGCCCACGCUUACUCUUCCUUCUCGCUGUCAUCUCUUUCUUUCUCUCUCCACCGUCGCCGUCCGUCGUCCGUGGGCUUCGCCACCACUCGCUCCCACGGGGCGCACCCACGAAUGCCUGUCUGCCUCUCACACGCACACGCAG